GUGCCAGCCGCCGCGGUAAGACAGAGGGUGCGAACGUUGUUCGGAAUUACUGGGCGUAAAGCGCGUGUAGGCGGCCACGCAAGUCGGGUGUGAAAUCCCGGGGCUCAACCCCGGAAGUGCACUCGAAACUGCAUGGCUGGAGUCUCGGAGAGGAAGGCGGAAUUCUAGGUGUAGAGGUGAAAUUCGUAGAUAUCUAGAGGAACACCGGUGGCGAAGGCGGCCUUCUGGACGAGCACUGACGCUGAGACGCGAAAGCGUGGGGAGCAAACAGGAUUAGAAACCCUUGUAGUCC
rnacentral:rRNA from 1 species